GAGGCUGUGGAAGGGGGAGAAAGAAUUACCCGAGUGCCGAGGCCGGAACUCGCGUCGCUCCCUUUCUCACGCUCGCGAUUCUAGCCUCGCUUCCGGUGCACGCAACUCGCUGCCACAUCUGCCGGCGACGGCCCCGCCACCGCUUGCGCUUGAAAAGGUACACCGCGGCGGCGGCCGGCGGCGGCAUCGGUUCCUGCCGGCUUAGAGGGAGACGGUUGAAACUCCAGGUCCUGAGGAUCUGCGCUGCUAUCUCAUCCAAGACACGACCAGGAUUUGCGGUUCUAUCUACUAUCUCAACACGGUCUCGACUAGGGCACUUCAGUUUUUAGUCAUCCUUAGCAAUCAGAUACAGCACUGCACUACCUUAGCACAGCUACCGUUUUUCUGGAUCAUUUGUCUCUGAUUCAACAAUGGCAAGGAUUGAGGAUAGACUUGUUAAGUCUGUUGUGAUUGUUGGAGAAACAGAAAGCACCGACUAUUGCAUUGGACUUGUUGCAGAAGUGACUAAGGAUGAGACUUUUGUGUUAACUCAAUCGUCCUUCGUUCAGGACAAAGGAGACAGAAUCAAGGUAUCUUUUUUUGACAAAACUGAGCUGUUGGCUUCGGUUGUUGCAAUUGACAGGAGUUUUUGCAUGCUGAGAACAGCGCGCCAUUGUGAUUCUGAGAGAGUUUACUGGGAGGAAGGUCCUAUCACCGCUGUGUCUCAAGCUCUGAUCUUCUUGCCCUUUUCGUCUACUAAUGUCUCUUGUACUCGUAUCUUUGUUACUCUCGAGUCAAGUGACUCCUAUCACAUGAAGUCCACGGUCGUUGUUGAUGGUUCAGAUGAGUUUUUCUUAGUCUCAUGUCCUUACACAGAAAAGACUAAUGCUGGAUUUGAUAGGUUGUUAGCUGCUCCUGUAUUUAGUAUGAGUGAGAGAGCUUUAGGCAUAGUCCUAUUUGAUUACAAUCCUGAUAGUGCUGCUGAGAAGAAGGUUUGCUAUUUGGCAAAAGGAGUCAUGGCUCAGAUAUCCAGACUCCUUCCAUCACCAGAACUACCAGCUUACACAAAGAGAAGAGGAGCAGAAGACCAGAAGAAGGGCAAAAAAAGACGCAUCAUUUGAAUAGUCGUAUUAUAAUAAAGUUUUAAUUUAAGGGCACUCCUAGCUAUGAAGCUUAUGAUGAGGCUGAUUUAGUAUCUCAUGUUUCUGAUUCUUCUAUCUACUCUUGGCGUUUCCGAAAACAAUGUUCCACAUGUGUUGGUAGAGGUAUGUGUGGUGCAAGGUGCGGAGGCUGUCAAGAUGGUGGCUCUCUCAUUCCACAAGCAGAAUGGACAUUUGCGCUCUGACAAUGAGUAACAACUGAUUCCGUUCGCUGGCUGAGUGCCGUUUUAGUGUCACUUGUAGUUUCUGUGCCUUUUGGGCUAUAUGCCUUGUUUGGAACCCGUUUAAAAUUGUUGGGCUAGUUUUGCUGGCGCUUCUUACUUUAGCCUUUUUAGUAAUGGUAGUUUGUAUCCUUGUUCAUAUUCCCUCUGUGAUCAUGAGCAUGUAUUCAUCGUCAUGGUGGUUCGGUUAUCAAAACAGCGACUUGGUAGUGAAAUUCGGUUUUACCGUUGUGGAAACUUGAAGCUUGGUUUUUUGUUCAUGAAUUUUUGAUAACAUGACCUAAUUGUUCUCAACAAACUCAAAACCAUGUAUGGGUUGAUCUGUAUGGAUUCCAUUUUCCUUA